GGGUCAGUAGGUUGGUCGUGCCACCGGUACGUACUGGUCUCACUGAUUCCUCCUCCCUGAAGAAUCGUAAUGCCAUUAAUUUGGUGUUGCGGGGAAACAGGACUGUUACUUUGAAAAAAUUAGAGUGUUUAAAGCAAGCUAACGCUUGAAUACAUUAGCAUGGAAUAAUGAAAUAGGACGAUCGAUCCUAUUUUGUUGGUUUCUAGGAUUGACGUA
rnacentral:rRNA from 1 species